rnacentral:rRNA from 1 species
AGAGUUUGAUCCUGGCUCAGGACGAACGCUGGCGGCGUGCCUAAUACAUGCAAGUCGAGCGAAUCAAUGGGAGCUUGCUCCCGUUGGUUAGCGGCGGACGGGUGAGUAACACGUGGGCAACCUGCCUGUAAGACUGGGAUAACUUCGGGAAACCGGAGCUAAUACCGGAUAAUUCUUUUCCUCACAUGGGGAAAAGCUGAAAGUCGGUUUCGGCUGGCACUUACAGAUGGGCCCGCGGCGCAUUAGCUAGUUGGUGAGGUAACGGCUCACCAAGGCGACGAUGCGUAGCCGACCUGAGAGGGUGAUCGGCCACACUGGGACUGAGACACGGCCCAGACUCCUACGGGAGGCAGCAGUAGGGAAUCUUCCGCAAUGGACGAAAGUCUGACGGAGCAACGCCGCGUGAGUGAUGAAGGCCUUCGGGUCGUAAAACUCUGUUGUCAGGGAAGAACAAGUAUCGGAGUAACUGCCGGUACCUUGACGGUACCUGACCAGAAAGCCACGGCUAACUACGUGCCAGCAGCCGCGGUAAUACGUAGGUGGCAAGCCGUUGUCCGGAAUUAUUGGGCGUAAAGCGCGCGCAGGCGGUCCUUUAAGUCUGAUGUGAAAGCCCACGGCUCAACCGUGGGAGGGUCAUUGGAAACUGGGGGACUUGAGUACAGAAGAGGAAAGCGGAAUUCCACGUGUAGCGGUGAAAUGC